rnacentral:lncRNA from 1 species
GUACUAUCAUGGUAAUAAAAGCUGAGGAUUCACCUCCAUAAAAAAAAUAGUUUCAGCUCUCAAGAACAAACACAGUAUAAACUAUUUAUCAGAAUACAGGCAAAAAGACUUUUAUCAGGAUCAAUGUAAAACUGCCUGAUUGCUUCAUUUUGCCAGCUGCUCAGAUAGAGCCAAUUUAUCAAGACAGAAGGAUAGUAAUAAAGACUUUAAUACAUGUUGAGAUGGCUGAACAGGAGUCUGGAGUAUUAUUUUCACUCAAAUUAAUAUCUCUGAAAAUUCAGAGGCUAGAAUUUUUCAAGGAUAGUUUGGUGGGCAGAGGGCCAGGGAAGAGGUGCUACUGAUUAAUUGGGGAUGCAAUAAUAAGGGUGUAGAAAAUGAUCUUUUUGCACUGAGUCCGCUGCUGGAUGGCGGGCCCCAGGACCUGUUGAGUCUUGAGUCUCUAGUCCAGAUGAAGUCAUCCAGCUGUCAAAAAUGCAAAAGUGUAAAUAGAUAUCUCAAAAGACCAAUUUUAGUGUGUACAAUAGUCAUAUUGUUUACAGGAGUAAUUGAGAAAGUUACAAAUCUUGUGACCUCUGAAAGAAUGGCUGGUAACCACUUAACUAUGCCUACAUCGUAGGAGAAUUCAGACCUCUCUGGUAAUUUUAACCUUGGGUCUUUUAUUAGUUUUAUAAAGGUGGUUUAGUUUUGAGAAUGGCUAUUAUCACUUAAACUGUAAGCCAAAUUUCUCUCAAAGUUAGCUUGGCCCAUGCCCAGGAAUGACCAAGGGCAGUUAAGAAGUUGAAGGCAAGGUAGAGUUUGUUAGAUCUCUUCACUGUCAUAAUUUUCUCACUGUUAUAAAUUUUGCAACAGCAGUUUCAAUUGCAUGGUACAGAGAAGGUGAACAGCGAAACAGAAUCAGAAUGCAUAAGUGAUCAGGAAAUCUUCUAGAAGAUGAGGACUGAACAAGUUACAAUAUGAGAGAGGGUAACCUCUAUACCCAUGCUAUAAAUAGAAGUCACAGCAAGCAUAAAAGUACUGAGCACAGGUUAUGCAGUGCUGAGAGACAAGGUCUGAGUCCAUGGAAAUACAUUACUCCUAUAGGAAGAUGUCUGAAAGAAGACAGAAAAGAGCAAUUCAAAUUUCAUGACUUGUAAGGCUGGCACCACUUGGCAUUACUAA